rnacentral:tRNA from 1 species
GCCUGGGUGGCUUAGUUGGUUAAGUGUCUGACUUUGGCUCAGGUCAUAAUCCUGCAGUUUGUGGGUUUGAGCCCCACAUUGGGCU